UGCGAUCUCCGGCCUUAUAGACGUCUCGCCCCGAACAUCCCGUGCUCGGGGCGUGGCAGCACCGGGGCCUCAACCGUGCAGGGUGUGGAUAAACCCAUCGUAAGUUGAAAAUACCUGAAGUGGAAAGUGCGCUUUCAGCUUAGACGACCGUUUUAUCUGGACGCAGCCCCAUCGGACGUCGAGGAGCCUAUGAAUGCGUAUCAGCGUUAUCAGAAAGCCGAAAAAAACUUAAGUUGAACCAUCCUAAGUCGGGGACUGUCUGUCCACCCUUGCCGACUUGACCUCUUUUUCCCGGUUCUCUAGAGUCAGUAUACCACCAGCCCGUUCUCCACCCCGCAAGGCGUGCUUUGGAAGCCUGACUCUAAUCGCGUCCUCCCCUGCCUAAAACCCUGCUGUGAUUUCCCAUUACCCUUAGUACAGAGCCACAUUCCUUAACGUGUCCGACGUGGUCCGGCCCUCCCACACGUCUGCAGUUUCGUUUUCCGCCAGCCUUGGCCUUGCUUUCUGCUCUUCGGUUCCUCACACCAUGAUUCCUCUAGGCCAGGCGUUUGCAUGCGCUGUCUCGCCUGUAAAACUAACUUCCCUUCCCUUGUGGGCUCAGAUCCCGGCUCAGGUAGCAGGUGUGAGGUCAAGCAGAGGAGGUGAAUCUUCUUGGAGAGCAGGUAGCAUAGUAAGAAGAAAGGGCCAUGGUCAGAACCCUGGAGAACACCGGUAAUUAA
rnacentral:lncRNA from 1 species